CAGUCGCCGCGGGAAUACGUAGGUGGCAAGCGUUGUCCGGAAUUAUUGGGCGUAAAGGGCGCGUAGGCGGACUGAUAAGUCAGGGGUGAAAUCCCAAGGCUCAACCUUGGAACUGCCUUUGAUACUGUUUGUCUUGAGUUCGAGAGAGGUAAGUGGAACUGCGAGUGUAGAGGUGAAAUUCGUAGAUAUUCGCAAGAACACCAGUGGCGAAGGCGGCUUACUGGCUCGAAACUGACGCUGAGGCGCGAAAGCGUGGGGAGCAAACAGGAUUAGAUACCCCGGUAGUCCCUGUCUCUUAUAC
rnacentral:rRNA from 1 species